AACGCACGAGACCUGCGGACCUGCGGAAGGAUCAUUACCGAGUGAGGGCCUCCGGCCCGACCUCCAACCCUUUGUUAUCUACACCAUUGUCGCCUCGGGGGCGACUCUCGCCUAACGGCGUCGGGCCCCCGGUGGAUCAUACACAAAUUCUGCAUCUUUGCGUCGGGUUUGAAAUAUCAAUUUGAUUAAAACUUUCAACAAUGGAUCUCU
rnacentral:misc_RNA from 1 species